GAUGAACGCUGGCGGCGUGCCUAAAACAUGCAAGUCGAGCGGUAAGGCCCUUCGGGGUACACGAGCGGCGGACGGGUGAGUAACGCGUGGGAAUCCACCCCAAAGUGAGGGAUAAGCAUCGGAAACGGUGUCUAAUACCGCAUAUGGUCUUCGGAUUAAAGUAUUUAUACGCUUUGGGAGGAGCCCGCGUCCGAUUAGGUUGUUGGUGAGGUAAUGGCUCACCAAGCCGACGAUCGGUAGCUGGUCUGAGAGGAUGAUCAGCCACACUGGAACUGAGACACGGUCCAGACUCCUACGGGAGGCAGCAGUUAGGAAUCUUCCACAAUGGGCGAAAGCCUGAUGGAGCAACGCCGCGUGCAGGAUGAAGGCCUUCGGGUCGUAAACUGCUUUUAUGAGUGAAGAAUAUGACGGUAACUCAUGAAUAAGGGUCGGCUAACUACGUGCCAGCAGCCGCGGUAA
rnacentral:rRNA from 1 species